rnacentral:rRNA from 1 species
GACGAACGCUGGCGGCGUGCCUAAUACAUGCAAGUCGAACGGUCUUUUCUAUGGAAGCUUGCUUCCAUAGAGAAGAUAGUGGCGGACGGGUGAGUAACACGUGGGUAACCUGCCCAUAAGAGGGGGAUAACAUCCGGAAACGGGUGCUAAUACCGCAUAGUUUUCUUGAUCGCAUGAUUGAGAAAGGAAAGACGGCCUUUGUGCUGUCGCUUAUGGAUGGACCCGCGGCGUAUUAGUUAGUUGGUGAGGUAAUGGCUCACCAAGACGAUGAUACGUAGCCGACCUGAGAGGGUGAUCGGCCACAUUGGGACUGAGACACGGCCCAA